AUUGAACGCUGGCGGCAGGCCUAACACAUGCAAGUCGAGCGGAUGAAGGGAGCUUGCUCCUGGAUUCAGCGGCGGACGGGUGAGUAAUGCCUAGGAAUCUGCCUGGUAGUGGGGGAUAACGUCCGGAAACGGGCGCUAAUACCGCAUACGUCCUGAGGGAGAAAGUGGGGGAUCUUCGGACCUCACGCUAUCAGAUGAGCCUAGGUCGGAUUAGCUAGUUGGUGAGGUAAAGGCCUACCAAGGCGACGAUCCGUAACUGGUCUGAGAGGAUGAUCAGUCACACUGGAACUGAGACACGGUCCAGACUCCUACGGGAGGCAGCAGUGGGGAAUAUUGGACAAUGGGCGAAAGCCUGAUCCAGCCAUGCCGCGUGUGUGAAGAAGGUCUUCGGAUUGUAAAGCACUUUAAGUUGGGAGGGAGGGCAGUAAGUUAAUACCUUGCUGUUUUGACGUUACCAACAGAAUAAGCACCGGCUAACUUCGUG
rnacentral:rRNA from 1 species